ensembl:snRNA U6 U6 spliceosomal RNA
GUGCUCGAUUAGGCAUCACAGAUACUAUAAACUGGAAUGAUACAGAGAAGAUUAGCAUGGCCCCUAUACAAAGAUGACAAGCAAAUUCAUUAAGACCUGGCUUAAUUU